rnacentral:rRNA from 1 species
AGCUUGCUGUUUCUGAUUGUGGCGGACGGGUGAGUAAUGUAUAGGGAUCUGCCUAGUGGGGGGGGACAACAGCCGGAAACGGCUGCUAAUACCGCAUACGCUCUACGGAGGAAACCGGGGGCUCGUAAGACCUCGUGCUAUUAGAUGAACCUAUAUCAGAUUAGCUGGGUGGGGGGGUAAGGGCCUACCAAGGCGACGAUCUGUAGCUGGUCUGAGAGGAUGAUCAGCCACUCUGGGACUGAGACACGGCCCACACUCCUACGGGAGGCAGCAGUGGGGAAUAUUGGACAAUGGGCGCAAGCCUGAUCCAGCAAUGCCGCGUGUGUGAAGAAGGCCUUCGGGUUGUAAAGCACUUUCAAUAGGGAGGAAAAUUUAUGCGUUAAUACCGUAUAGCUGUGACGUUACCUAUAAAAGAAGCACCGGCUAACUCCGUGCCAGCAGCCGCGGUAAUACGGAGGGUGCAAGCGUUAAUCGGAAUUACUGGGCGUAAAGCGCGCGU